rnacentral:rRNA from 1 species
UACGUAGGGGGCAAGCGUUGUCCGGAAUCAUUGGGCGUAAAGAGCGCGCAGGCGGUCGUACAAGUCGCGUGUGAAAGCCCCCGGCUCAACUGGGGAGGGUCACGCGAUACUGUUCGACUCGAAGGCAGGAGAGGGUAGUGGAAUUCCCGGUGUAGUGGUGAAAUGCGUAGAUAUCGGGAGGAACACCAGUGGCGAAGGCGACUACCUGGCCUGUUCUUGACGCUGAGGCGCGAAAGCUAGGGGAGCAAACAGG